rnacentral:rRNA from 1 species
UACCACAUCCAAGGAAGGCAGCAGGCACGCAAAUUACCCACUCCCGGCACGGGGAGGUAGUGACAAAAAAUAACGAUACGGGACUCAUCCGAGGCCCCGUAAUCGGAAUGAGAACAUCCUAAAUCCUUUAGCGAAAAUCUAUUGGAGGGCAAGUCUGGUGCCAGCAGCCGCGGUAAUUCCAGCUCCAAUAGCGUAUNNNNNAACCGUAGUUGGUUCUGCGUGCCACGCUGUCGGUUCACCGCCUGCCGGUGCAACUGGCAUGCCGUGGCAUGUCCUGUCGGUGGCGGACAGGCUUCGUGGCGCGCCCUAUGCGGUAUACCAGCGUGUAGGUUGCCGCGCCGCGUUGUCCUUGUUCGCCGGCUCAAUCCCACCGCGGUGCUCUUUACCGAGUGUCGAGGUGGGCCGACACUAUUUACUUUGAACAAAUUAGAGUGCUUCAAGCAGGCUCUUAAAUCAGCCUGAAUAGUGGUGCAUGGAAUAAUAGAAGAGGACCUUGGUUCUAUUUUGUUGGUUUCCGGAAUCCAAGGUAAUGAUCAAUAAGGACAGGCGGGGGCAUCCGUAUUGCGGCGCUUGGCAAAUGCUUUCGCNNNNNNNNNNNNNNNNNNNNNNNNNNNGCCCUAGAGCGAAAGCAUUUGCCAAGUAUGUCUUAAUUGAUCAAGAACGAAAGUUAGAGGCUCGAAGGCGAUCAGAUACCGCCCUAGUUCUAACCAUAAACGAUGCCAGCCAGUAAUCCGCCGAUGUUCCUCCGAUGACUCGGCGGGGGGCUUCCCCGGGAAACCAAAGCUUUUGGGUUCCGGGGGAAUAUGGUUGCAAAGCUGAAACUUAAAGGAAUUGACGGAAGGGCACCACCAGAAGUGGAGCCUGCGGCUUAAUUUGACUCAACACGGGAAACCUCACCAGGCCCGGACAUUGGAAGGAUUGACAGAUCGAUAGCUCUUUCUCGAUUCAGUGGGUAGUGGUGCAUGGCCGUUCUUAGUUCGUGGACUGAUUUGUCUGGUUAAU